rnacentral:misc_RNA from 1 species
AACGCACAUUGCGCCCUUUGGUAUUCCGAGGGGCAUGCCUGUUCGAGCGUCAUUUCAAAUCUCAAGCUCUGCUUGGUAUUGGACCGUCGUCCGCUAAGGACGGGUCUCAAAUGUGUCGGCGGUGCCAUCUGGCUUCAAGCGUAGUAAAACAAAAGUCUCGCUUUGGAGGUUCAGGUGGUGUCUUGCCGGACAAACCUUUAUUUUUAUCAAGGUUGACCUCGGAUCAGGUAGGGAUACCCGCUGAACUUAA